rnacentral:lncRNA from 1 species
UUGGGUGGGUUGCUUUGCUUAUAUUAAAUAAGAGCCAGGAGGGGCAUCUUCAUCAAGCAAAUAAAUUGGAAAAAUGGAGCAACCUUUAAAGAGAAAUUUUGUAUUGUUUUUUUUUCAUUAUUUUGGUUAGUUAUGUCAGUGGACACAAAGGUUAUUUUGAAGAGGAAAGGAAAGGCUUGUUGGAAUUGAAGGAGAUCAUGGAAUUCAUGAAUCAGUCUUCUAUUAUCAAUAAUGAGUUUGAGUUUCUUCUUUCUGAUUGGGUUGAUAUUGAGGGAAAAAAUGAGUGUUGU